UACAGAGGGUGCGAGCGUUAAUCGGAAUUACUGGGCGUAAAGCGCGCGUAGGCGGCUUUGCAAGUCGGGUGUGAAAUCCCCAGGCUUAACCUGGGAACUGCAUCCGAGACUGCAUUGCUAGAGUAUGGGAGAGGGAAGUGGAAUUUCCGGUGUAGCGGUGAAAUGCGUAGAUAUCGGAAGGAACAUCAGUGGCGAAAGCGACUUCCUGGACCAAUACUGACGCUCAUGUGCGAAAGCGUGGGGAGCAAACAGG
rnacentral:rRNA from 1 species